UAAAAUUUAAAAUUAUAAUACUUAAAUAGUAGAUAAUUAUUUAUUGAAACUUAAAUAAUUUGGCGGUAUUUUAGUUCAUUUAGAGGAAUCUGUUUAAUAAUUGAUAUUCCACGAAUAAAUUUACUUAAUUUAUAAUUUUGUAUAUCGUUGUUAUAAAAAUAUUUUUUAAUAAAAUUAAUAUUUAAGAAUUAUUAUUUAAAUUCAAAUCAGAUCAAGAUGCAGAUUAUAAUUAAGAAUAUAAUGGAUUACAAUAAAUUUAUUUAAAUGAAUAUUUUUUUUGUAAAAUUAAUUGAAAGUGGAUUUAAAUGUAAUUUUAUUUAUUUUAUUAAAAUGAUUAAAAAUUAAAAUAUGU
rnacentral:rRNA from 1 species